AGUUCUCGUUGAUGAUCGGUGCUUGCACCGAGAUUCAACAUGGCACGAGUGGCGGACGGGUGAGUAACACGUGGGUAACCUGCCCUUAAGUGGGGGAUAACAUUUGGAAACAGAUGCUAAUACCGCAUAGAUCCAAGAACCGCAUGGUUCUUGGCUGAAAGAUGGCGUAAGCUAUCGCUUUUGGAUGGACCCGCGGCGUAUUAGCUAGUUGGUGAGGUAAUGGCUCACCAAGGCGAUGAUACGUAGCCGAACUGAGAGGUUGAUCGGCCACAUUGGGACUGAGACACGGCCCAAACUCCUACGGGAGGCAGCAGUAGGGAAUCUUCCACAAUGGACGCAAGUCUGAUGGAGCAACGCCGCGUGAGUGAAGAAGGCUUUCGGGUCGUAAAACUCUGUUGUUGGAGAAGAAUGGUCGGCAGAGUAACUGUUGCCGGCGUGACGGUAUCCAACCAGAAAGCCACGGCUAACUACGUGCCAGCAGCCGCGGUAAUACGUAGGUGGCAAGCGUUAUCCGGAUUUAUUGGGCGUAAAGCGAGCGCAGGCGGUUUUUUAAGUCUGAUGUGAAAGCCCUCGGCUUAACCGAGGAAGCGCAUCGGAAACUGGGAAACUUGAGUGCAGAAGAGGACAGUGGAACUCCAUGUGUAGCGGUGAAAUGCGUAGAUAUAUGGAAGAACACCAGUGGCGAAGGCGGCUGUCUGGUCUGUAACUGACGCUGAGGCUCGAAAGCAUGGGUAGCGAACAGGAUUAGAUACCCUGGUAGUCCAUGCCGUAAACGAUGAAUGCUAGGUGUUGGAGGGUUUCCGCCCUUCAGUGCCGCAGCUAACGCAUUAAGCAUUCCGCCUGGGGAGUACGACCGC
rnacentral:rRNA from 1 species